AUGGUGGUAACGGGUAACGGGGUGUUAGGGCACGACACCGGAGAGGGAGCCUGAGAAACGGCUACCACAUCCAAGGAAGGCAGCAGGCGCGCAAAUUACCCAAUCCCGACAUGGGGAGGUAGUGACAAUAAAUAACAAUACAGGGUUCUUUCGGAUCUUGUAAUUGGAAUGAGUACAAUUUAAAUCUCUUAACGAGGAACAAUUGGAGGGCAAGUCUGGUGCCAGCAGCCGCGGUAAUUCCAGCUCCAAUAGCGUAUAUUAAAGUUGUUGCAGUUAAAAAGCUCGUAGUUGAAUUUCAGGAUCAAUGGAUCGGUCAUGCCUUGGUAUGUACUGGUUUUAUUGGUUCUCACCUUCUAAAGAACCAUAAUGUCAUUCAUUUGAUGUUAUGGGGAAUUAGGACUGUUACCUUGAAAAAAUUAGAGUGUUUAAAGCAAGCUUACGCUUGAAUACAUUAGCAUGGAAUAAUGAAAUAGGACAUCAGAUUCUAUUUUGUUGGUUUCUAGGAUCGAUGUAAUGAUUAAUAGGGAUAGUUGGGGGCAUUAGUAUUCAAUUGUCAGAGGUGAAAUUCUUGGAUUUAUUGAAGACUGACUACUGCGAAAGCAUUUGCCAAGGAUGUUUUCAUUAAUCAAGAACGAAAGUUAGGGGAUCGAAGACGAUCAGAUACCGUCGUAGUCUUAACCAUAAACUAUGCCGA
rnacentral:rRNA from 1 species